UACAGAGGUCUCAAGCGUUGUUCGGAUUCAUUGGGCGUAAAGGGUGCGUAGGCGGCGCGGUAAGUCGGGUGUGAAAUCUCGGAGCUUAACUCCGAAACUGCAUUCGAUACUGCCGUGCUUGAGGACUGGAGAGGAGACUGGAAUUUACGGUGUAGCGGUGAAAUGCGUAGAUAUCUGGAGGAACACCGGUGGCGAAGGCGGCAUCCUGGACCGGCAUUGACGCUGAGGAGCGAAAGCCAGGGGAGCAAACAGG
rnacentral:rRNA from 1 species